UUGAGAGCACGUUGGGUUGUUUUCGUGUUGUACUCCUCACAACGGUAACUUCUUUUUCCCAAUGUUCAAUAUUCUUGAAAACAAAAAGGCCAUCCUCUGCGUAAUCGGGGGACAAGAGGCAUUCAAACCUAUAAUCUUAAAGUUACGACAUGGGCCAAGUCUUCUCCAUGUCUCAUGUCUUGUAAGUUGUAACUGGCAAAAACAAGCCGUGUUGAAGCUGCAAUAGUUAAGUGGGGCCAAAGUAGCAACUGAACUUGUAACGAUCAUGUCGAGUGUUCACAGUUGUCAACACCAUAAAUGCCACCUAAGUGUCAUCCAAGGACCCGUGAUAGAAAUCAAGACGGGAUCCUCACGUUACAUUGGACUAAACGAGCAUCGGCACGGUAUUCUUCUCCGAUUUUUACGGCAAUAUUCUGCUCUCUUAUCUCCACGUGCAGCCUCCUGUGCGCGAGGGGCCAGUGACACGUAGCGCCAGCAGAGCCGCUUCCCUCCACUCUCUGUCGGACGCCUCCUCCGAUUCCUUCAGUCACUCUCCGGAAUCGGUCGACACCAAAAUGAACUUAAACAACUUGAUGAUGAUGUAUCAGGAGCAGGGCAGUAGCCCUGAUUCCAGUGAAGAGGAAGCCUCCAGUUUCUCCAUGCUGCCCCACCUGGCCGACCUGGUGUCCUACAGCAUUCAGAAGGUCAUUGGCUUUGCCAAGAUGAUCCCGGGCUUCAGGUACCGUCUUCGUUCACCUGUCACGCUGUCGAUGUUUCAUUUUCACCAGAGUGCAAUGUUAAAAAAA